ACCACGAGCAGAGACUGAACCUGAUAGAGUAUUUGAUUAUCUCGAAUCCAAGUCUCUCAGGCCGUACCCAAAAAUCAUCUCUACAUCUUCGACGGGAGAAGAACAGAGAAGAAAGAAACGAAAGAGAAGAAAGAAGAAGGAAAAGUUGCUGUUAUAAAUUGAAGUUAGGGUUUCAUCUGAUUGAGAAUUUGAUUGGAGUCGGAUAAUGUUAUUGGGUCCAUGAUUACAUAGAAUUAAAAGGGGUUGUUGUUGAUUUAUCGAUGGGAGGUUAUUCUGAUGAAGAAUCAACAAAACCAGAAGCAUGUAAGCAAGUAAAGGGGGUAAUUUGAACAAUGGAUGUUUGGCCAAAUUUCAUUCCUGAUUCCUGGGCAUCAACUGAUGCCAAAAAUCUGAUUAACUUUUGCGUAUCGGAAAGACGAUGAAGAGGGGUAAGAGAAAAAAGCUUAUAUGAUGCAUCUGAGACUUGGAAGAAUGAAGGUGGAUGAAUGAUUUAAGGAGCAAUAUGGUGGUCCAUGAAUUUAAAUUAAUGCGUAGGGAUGCUAGACAGAAUUUUACUUAAUAUCGAGUCCCUCCGCAGUAGAAUUAAAGGUAUCCUAAACUUGGAAUUGGACAUCAUCGUCCUUGACCUGUAAUGGAGUUGAUGAAGAGAAGGAACCAUCAACUACGACUGGGGGAACAACAAGAUCAUAGAAGGACAAAAAUGGCAUAAAGUGGCUUCAGGCAACAGCGAGGAUAACGGGUCUUCUGAUAUGCAAUUUUAUUUAGGGUGCAGAGCUUAUAACAUUGAUUUAGGAUUCAAGGUCUGAUUUCAGAGACAGACAAGGCAAACAUCUGGAGACCCUAUUUAAUUUGGUGUAUACAGAUUCAGAUAACUAACAUGUGCAGAGAGUGUAAUCUGAACGAUGGGUGUUUUAGUAUGUAUUUGAAAUUCUUAUUCGCAUAUUGUGAUUCGAUGUUAUGAUGAACAACGCAGAUAAAAUCACAGCCAUCAACCCUAUAAUCCAAGAGUGAUCUUCAUAACAAAUUUCACAUCUUCUUACAUGAUUUUGCUGGGUUUCUCGACACCCCACAGUGGCAAAGGAAUUGAAGACCGACAAGCUAGGUUGUAGGAGAGUUAAGGAUUGGGGACAUUCGUGGUGAGAUUGAGGUGCUUUGUUAAAUGCCACGUCUCUUCCAAGUGCACCCUAAAAGAUUCAAUCUGUUACUGUGUUUAAACCAUACUUCAUGCAGUAAUUGAGAACCCAUAUUGAGGUUCCCGGCAUUCAGAAAAAAAAGGCCUAUAUAGUUGAUUAUAGUGUGAGCGCACUUAAUGUAAAGGAAAAACUGGAAAAACAGCGAUUAAAAAAGCGCUUGAGUGGGGAAGAGGUUGCAGAGUUAGGUGAUUGCAUACAGUGAUUUAUUUUCCCUGACUUGGGUUACCACAAGUGAAUGGCUACACCCAAUGAAAUCAGCUGAUCCACGUUAGCAUUUAGCAGUUGUGACAGUGAUAACGAAGCUAGGGGUAGGAAAGUUGAUCAUGUUCAUAGGCUACCAGGAAUCGCUGAGAUUCAUUCCCAUGUCAAGCUCACUCAGGCAAAAUGGUCAUAGUUAACUAAGGUAAUAAAGAUCUGGUUAUAGUGCUGACAUGUGGAUCUCCUAUGAACCCUGGAAGAAAGGAAAUUUGUGUGCAAGAAGACUGCAUCGGAAACUCAGAUUAUAGUCCCGCAUUACUAAUACGAAAGCUGAGAAUGCUAAUGAAUUAGGUCUUAAAGGUUGGGUACGCAACUGAUGUUUGAUGGUUUAGUCGAACAACUUUUCUCUGGUGAUCUUAAUUCAGUCAAUAAUAAUCUAACUGAUAAUAAAAAGAGGCAUGGAAGUACUUCGAAGCUUAGGUGGUACGGAUAAAAAGCUUAUUAUGGUCUCCACUUCAACUUUGAUUAUAAAGGGAUUUCGAUGCUAGAUUCCUAAUUCACAUGGAGAUUUGCGCAAAAGGUUAAGAUAAAUUUGUGGGAAAAGAAACUUAUCGAUGGAUACAACAACUACAUGGCUCAAUAUUCGUCUUGGUGCUAAACAUUAGCCAGACGCAGUAUCAAAAGAGAGCUGGGCGACCAUUAUUAACACUUUCAAAAGAGAGCUGCAAGGUUAGUUAUGUGGCGACCAUGCUUACAGAAGGAAAAGUUCAAAACACUAUUGCGAGUGGGAUGCAAAGAUAAUGAAUUGGUUUGUUAUCAAAGUUCCCUUUGAACUUGCAAGUUCGGUAUAUGUGAUUGGUUCCGUUAGACUGUAAUUCAGUGCCGUAAUACUUGACAGAAAUAAAUGUAGAAUCCGGUUGAUGCUGACGUACUGAAGAUUUACCAAGGGGUGUGUUUAUGCAUGGCUGGUGGCUGACAUGAGAUACCAUUGUUUAUGCAAGGUAAAGUUAAGGGGUGACCAUGUUUACAAAGGGAGAAGUUUAAAACGAUGUUGCGAGUAGGAUGCGAUGAUAGGGAGUGAUUUUCUUAUAAGUUACUAAGUUGAUUGCCCGAGCCUCAAGAUAGAUCAUAAUCCAGUCCCCCAAUACAUGAGAGAGAAAUGUUUUGUCAAGGUUGGUUGCCUGGUUAUGAAGCUAAGAAAUAUUGCAGCGAAAACCGGGCUCUGCAAUGUACCGAGACUAAGGGUUGAGUGACAAGCAACCAUGGUAAAAAAAAGAAGGGAGAACGUAUUCAUACAAUAAAGAGGUCAGUGCCAUCAAAGACGAUGACAAUACCUUAAAGCACGACUAUACAAGAGGGAUGUAAGUGCCUACUGGCUUCUCGGAGAUCUGACACUUUGUUUUCGAUAGACUAAUGCGUUGCUUUAUGGAAUUCUGAUGGAUAAGGUUUCAUCAUUACACUCUGUUGAUAACUGUGUAAUACACUGUUGGGAUGAGCUUUCUUCACAAUUCAUUUUUAAGUGACCAUUGUAUUUGAAUGGAAUCUUUAAUUAUUUGUAGCAAAAGGACAUGGUCACAGUAAUUAUUGCCCACGAGGCCACGACUAAAUUUUGAGGAGGCGCCUAUUU